UACGGGGGGUGCGAGCGUUGUCCGGAAUCACUGGGCGUAAAGGGCGCGUAGGUGGCGUCGUAAGUCUGUGGUGAAAGCCCGGAGCUCAACUCCGGGUCUGCCGCGGAUACUGCGAGGCUUGAGUGCUGUAGAGGGGGGUAGAAUGCCGGGUGUAGCGGUGGAAUGCGUAGAUAUCAGGAGGAACACCGGCGGUGUAGACGGCUUUCUGGACCAUUGCUGACGCUGAGACACGAAAGCGUGGGUAGCAAACAGG
rnacentral:rRNA from 1 species